GACGAACGCUGGCGGCGUGCUUAACACAUGCAAGUCGAACGGAAAGGCCCUGCUUUUGUGGGGUGCUCGAGUGGCGAACGGGUGAGUAACACGUGAGUAACCUGCCCUUGACUUUGGGAUAACUUCAGGAAACUGGGGCUAAUACCGGAUAGGAGCUCCUGCUGCAUGGUGGGGGUUGGAAAGUUUCGGCGGUUGGGGAUGGACUCGCGGCUUAUCAGCUUGUUGGUGGGGUAGUGGCUUACCAAGGCUUUGACGGGUAGCCGGCCUGAGAGGGUGACCGGCCCCCUUGGGGCUGAGAUACGGGCCCGACUCCUACGGGAGGCAGCAGUGGGGAAUAAUGCACCAUGGGCGGAAGCCUGAUGCAGCAACGCCGCGUGCGGGAUGACGGCCUUCGGGUUGUAAACCGCUUUCGCCUGUGACCGAGCGUGAGUGACGGUAAUGGGUAAAGAAGCACCGGCUAACUACGUG
rnacentral:rRNA from 1 species